AUGAACGCUGGCGGCGUGCCUAAUACAUGCAAGUCGAGCGAACGGACGAGAAGUUUGCUUCUCUGAUGUUAGCGGCGGACGGGUGAGUAACACGUGGAUAACCUACCUAUAAGACUGGGAUAACUUCGGGAAACCGGAGCUAAUACCGGAUAAUAUUUUGAACCGCAUGGUUCAAAAGUGAAAGACGGUCUUGCUGUCACUUAUAGAUGGAUCCGCGCUGCAUUAGCUAGUUGGUAAGGUAACGGCUUACCAAGGCAACGAUGCAUAGCCGACCUGAGAGGGUGAUCGGCCACACUGGAACUGAGACACGGUCCAGACUCCUACGGGAGGCAGCAGUAGGGAAUCUUCCGCAAUGGGCGAAAGCCUGACGGAGCAACGCCGCGUGAGUGAUGAAGGUCUUCGGAUCGUAAAACUCUGUUAUUAGGGAAGAACAUAUGUGUAAGUAACUGUGCACAUCUUGACGGUACCUAAUCAGAAAGCCACGGCUAACUACGU
rnacentral:rRNA from 1 species